CCCUUAGAUGUCCGGGGCCGCACGCGCGCUACACUGAAGGAAUCAGCGUGGCUUUCUCCCUGACCCGAAAGGGUUGGGAAACCCGUUGAAUCUCCUUCGUGAUAGGGAUUGGGGCUUGAAAUUGUUCCCCAUGAACGUGGAAUUCCCAGUAAGCGCGAGUCAUAAGCUCGCGUUGAUUACGUCCCUGCCCUUUGUACACACCGCCCGUCGCUACUACCGAUUGAACGGUUUAGUGAGGGCCUCGGAUUGGUCUCGGCCCGCUCUUUACCGGGCGGCGCCGUUGGUCGAGAAGACGCUCGAACUUGAUCGUUUAGAGGAAGUAAAAGUUGUAACA
rnacentral:rRNA from 1 species